CAGAGCAGAGCUGCUUCACAUGCUCAGUGAUAACAGCUUCUUCUACCAAGUUUGCUGAGUGUGUGGAUCUGAGUCUUCCUUCGGCGCACUGGACCAGAGAGUAGCUACAAGGGAGAAUAGACAGGAGCCUUGCAUUAGGUGGAAGAAUGUGUGCUUAGAAAGUGCAGUACUGGUUGUAUUAUGUCUGUGUAUUUAUUAUGGCCCCCUCUACUGAACAGCGUGAACGGAAAGACCGCCUCCCCAUGUUGGAACUCCGGAUUGCCCAGGAACGUCUGAAACAAGGACUUGUGCCCCCCUAAAUUUCUAACGCGUCUGAGAAUAUGCCACAGGCGAUAUGUCGACCAAAGAAGAGGGUUAUCUUUCAAUUCCUGGUCGAAUUCCGCUUCCACCCCGUGAAGGAAAGAUAUUAGGUUUCUGGACCCUACAAAUUGUGCCUCCAGCUGUGUAUUAGCAUAAGUGUUACUAUCAUGUAACCAGUCUCUUAAAAAUCUCAAUAAAGAAGCAUGGUUGUA